ensembl:lncRNA
CGACGGCGGGCGGCGGGCUCAGCCUGCGGGAGGAGCUGACGGUGUUGGGCCGGCAGGUGGAGGACGCGGGCCGGGUGCUGGAGGGCAUCGGCAAGAGCAUCUCCUACGACCUGGACGGUGAGGAGAGCUACAGCACCUACCUGCGCCGAGAGUCCGCCCAGAUCAGCGACGCCUACUCCAGCUCGGACCGGUCGCUAAGCGAGCUGGAGGGCAAGUUCCGUCAGGGCCAGGAGCAGGGGGCUCGGGAGGAGGCUCGCCUGGGCGACAGCUUCCUGGGGCUGCUGCUGCACGCCCGCGCCCUGCUCCGGGAGACCCGACACAUCUCCAGCGGGCUGCGGGACAAGCACGACCUCCUCGCCCUCACCGUCCGCAGCCACGGCGCACGCCUGAGCCGCCUCAAGCACGACUAUCUCCGCGCCUGAGACGGACCCCGAGCCGGCUUCCAGCCCCCCGGACUGAGCUCUGCCUGUCAGGAGCACCGCCGCGCCCGGAAAAAAACUUAUUUAUUAUGUUUGACUGCCUAAACAAAUAGCGCGUUUCUAUAGACCAGGAGGGUAGAGGUAUGUUUAAGUUAAUAUCCCAUAUUUAAAAAAAUCGCUUUUGUUAUGUCGUUCAUCUUUGGUUACAAAGCAAAGUGAGCUUUCUCGUCUCCAAUUCCCCGUCGUUGGUUUAUGUAUCACUCGUUCUAUUGCAGCUCACCUGCUGCAAAUGUGGAUAAGGCAAGGUGCUCUCCUGCCGCUCCCAGACUCAUGUAACAGAUGCUUAAAUUGCUUUUGUACUCUCCUUCGGGGUGAAACCUCUGCCUAUCUAUUAACUUUCUUAACCUGUUGUAAUGGUAUGUACCCUAUGCACGUUAAACGUUGUUUUCUUACAUAACUUAAAGCUGUCAUUAUUUCCGUUUGUGUUCUGAAAGGUGGAAACUAUUCUGGCAGGAUUUGUACUCUUCCAGGCUUGCUUAUCUGUGACUUUAAGCUAUCACAACCCCAAGAGCCAGCCAAAAAGGCUGAUGUCAGAUCACAAGAAUGUUGAUGCACGUCUUUGUAGUAAGAAGAAGGAGCCCUAGCAGUGAUUGUAGUUUCAGAUCCCAAAUAUGAGAGCCAGGUUUCCUAGAGCAUGUUUCUAAAGCAGACAAAAAGGUUUUGUCUGUGCCAGCACAGUGACAUUUCUUGUUGGUGCCUUUGUACUUUUGCUAGCUAAGCUGUUAACAAAAUUAUUUGUGUUCCUAGACAAUAGCAAAAGUGCCUAGUGGGAAGGAGGGGGAGGACUGUUUGGGUUUUUAGACUCAUUGUUAUUUAGUUGUCAAUUUGGGGUAAUAUGGCUACUAGGUUACAGAUACUGCAGGCAGAAUCACGAUGAAAAAAACGAUCGUAUGUUGUUUUAAUAAAUAUUUGAAAACCAUGUUAAAGGCCACAUUUUUUCUUUUAUUGUUCUGCUUAGGUUGAUCUUGAUUUAAACCAUGUUGUUGUAAUAUGUCUUUUGAGCAAAAAAUUGUGAGUGCGUAUAUCCUGCCAAAUGAAAUAACUUGCUUUUUAGUAAGAACAAAUAAAUGCAUAGACUCAAAAGGUAAGCAAGUUUCAUUAAAAGCAGUACUACAAAAGGUGCUAUGUGUAGGGUGGAUUUGUUUGAGUUUGUUAGCCUUUUUCAGAAACUUAGCAACCUCAUGGCACUGGCUGCAUGAUGCACAAUUUAGGUUUGAUCUUGUUAACUCUCCUCAUGUUCAGUGAUACUUUGGUCUGCAAACCAUCCAUUUGGUAAGUUACUCCGCAGGGCACUGUGUCAACGUAAGUCAUCUGGGACCAGAGCGCUGAAGGCAGCGGUGUCUGGUGAAGGUACGUGCUUACAGAACUGCUGGACCAUCCAGGCAGCUUACUUUCAUCAGAGGCAGGGAGGUGUAGCUCCUAGCAGGAUACUUUAGGUGUCAAUUUGCACCUUAAGAUCCCCAGUGUCUGUGAAGAUCUACCUGGAAAACAGAAAAGGAAACAUUUUAUUGAUUGACUUUGGUGGAACUGCUCAAUGUUAUGUUCAAGUCUGUUGCCAAGUUAGAAGGUAUGACAGGUUCUAGCUCUUUUAAAAAAUAAAGUUACUUGUGAUUCUUUCCUUGCCACUAGGGUUAGCUGUAAAAACACAAGCAAAAGGGGCCAUCUGAGUCACCAAGUCCUGUCUGCCUGCUAUCACAGCAGACCAUACAGCAUUUCUGGCAUGGAACAAGCUCUAGAAGUGCCUGAGGGUUUCAUUGGCAUCCAGACUCAAAUUUCUCUCUGAAUCUUGCCUGCUUAGAAGUGGGUGCCAAAGAUGUCAUGCCGUUUGUGCCCAGAUGCUUCUUAAAAGGAGUUUUAGACUCUGUUUGCUUUCAGAGAUGUUGUUUAUAACACGAAUUGUAAACAUCAGUAAAGAAAUUAAAAUGUCGGGAGUGUUAGCAGUUUUAGCCAUGAGAGCAAUAUUCAAAUCCUAAUAGAAAAAUAGUGGUAGUAGUGUGACACACAGCUUUAAGCAGCUUGGCUAGUCUAUUUGCGAUAGCAAACUUCAGUCAAGCUCAAACUAUCUCAACAUACACAGCAUACCAAAAGAGUAAAUGUUUGCAAAGGGUUUACUUUCUAAAGCAGGAGAUUAUGUGACCCAUGGAGAUAUAUAGCAUAAUUCAUUCUGCUCUGUACCCCUGUAUUUAAGUUGGUCAUCUAAUGAAACAAAACCACGGUUCU